rnacentral:rRNA from 1 species
GACAGCAGUCGCCGCGGUAAUACAGAGGGUGCGAGCGUUAAUCGGAUUUACUGGGCGUAAAGCGUGCGUAGGCGGCUUUUUAAGUCGGAUGUGAAAUCCCUGAGCUUAACUUAGGAAUUGCAUUCGAUACUGGGAAGCUAGAGUGUGGGAGAGGAUGGUAGAAUUCCAGGUGUAGCGGUGAAAUGCGUAGAGAUCUGGAGGAAUACCGAUGGCGAAGGCAGCCAUCUGGCCUAACACUGACGCUGAGGUACGAAAGCAUGGGGAGCAAACAGGAUUAGAUACCCGUGUAGUCCCUGUCUCUUAUAC